rnacentral:rRNA from 1 species
UACGGAGGGUGCAAGCGUUGUUCGGAAUUAUUGGGCGUAAAGGGUGCGUAGGCGGUUCCGCAAGUCCUGUGUGAAAUCUUCGGGCUCAACUCGAAGUCUGCACGGGAAACUGCGGGGCUUGAGUGUGGGAGAGGUGAGUGGAAUUCCUGGUGUAGCGGUGAAAUGCGUAGAGAUGUGGAGGAACACCGGUGGCGAAGGCGGGUCUCUGGGCAAUUCCUGACGCUGAGGCGCGAAAGCGUGGGGAGCAAACGGG